rnacentral:rRNA from 1 species
GAUGAACGCUGGCGGCGUGCCUAAUACAUGCAAGUCGAGCGAACAGACGAGGAGCUUGCUCCUCUGACGUUAGCGGCGGACGGGUGAGUAACACGUGGAUAACCUACCUAUAAGACUGGGAUAACUUCGGGAAACCGGAGCUAAUACCGGAUAAUAUAUUGAACCGCAUGGUUCAAUAGUGAAAGACGGUUUUGCUGUCACUUAUAGAUGGAUCCGCGCCGCAUUAGCUAGUUGGUAAGGUAACGGCUUACCAAGGCAACGAUGCGUAGCCGACCUGAGAGGGUGGUCAGCCACACUGGCACUGAGACACGGUCCAGACGCGUACGGGAGGGCGCAGUAGGGUAUCGUCCGCAAUGUUCGAAAUACUGACAGAGCAACGCAUCGGGAGAGAUAAAGGUCUUCGGAUCCUAAAACUCUGUUAUUAGUAAAGAACAAAACGGUAAGUAACUAUGCACGUCCUGACGGUACCUAAUCAGAAAGCCACGGCUAACUACGUG